CACAAAGACUGGUCACUCAUUUAAUCCUUCUAUCAAAGCUCCUUCACCCACAUUGGGACACAAAGCCAAUGUUCUUCCAAAACCAGGCCACGUCUACAAACGAGUAUAAAAUGAGCAUCCUGAACACCUCCAGACCGCAAGCUCUGCUAUCACCGCGCUCUCUGGGGCGCCAGCCGGAGGCCGGGUUCCACAGGAGCGCGCAGUUCCGGCGCGUGGCCCUGUGCUCCGGAAGUGGCUCCCCCCAGUACCGCUCUUUGCGUCAGAGCCAGUCUCACUUUUCUUCAGGCGUCGGCCGAAGCCGCCUGCAGACGAGUUUUGGACGAAAGGCCCUCCCGUACGGGGGCGUGGCCACGCAGCCGCAGUCCCCGGCCGGCCCGGACGGGGACUCCGAGCCUCAGUAACGAGGAGGCCAGAAAAUAUUUCCCUGAGAAAUGACAGUUGAGCCAACAUCAGAGGGAUAAGAUGUUUACAAGCUAACUUGGGGAGAAAGAGCAUUCAUACCAGAGAAUAUUGCAAGUGUAAAGACUUGGAGGUAGAUGUGAUCAUGGUUGUGAAGAUGAGAAAAGAAGUGAAGAGAAUCCGAGUUUUUAUCUGAAAACUUGUCAGGAGUGUGAGCAGACUGGAGUCCAAAAAGGGCACUGAAGAUGCACUGUUAAAAAGCCAGAGACGAGCACGAUGAUUGCUUGAAGAAAUCCCUGCCAUGAAGAUCUCACUAAACAGCCAGCCAUCAAGAGGAUGCCUCGGUCAGGACGUCAUCUCACUAAGUACUGCGUCUGCAGACUCACCGAGCAACAGCUAGAGUGAAGGGACAGAGUGUAUCUGAGUGUUACCUAUCCAAGGAAGUGAGUAUAAGGGUAGUGGAUUUGAGACUCGGUGGAAAGUGUGUGAUCAUACAGGACUGUGCAGAUACAUCAUUCCUGAGUUGGCUUCACAAUCUCAUCUGCUACCUUAAGGGGGCAUUUUCUGCAUGACUGUGGGAGCCUUUGAGUCCAUGAGCUUGGUUCCGUGGCAACUUCAACACAAGAGAAAUUGCCAACAAACUUGGGCAGUAGGACUUCGACUUUGAGUCAUUCAGACCCAAGUUUGAACCCAAUUGCUGUUUACCAGCUCUGUGAUCACGGAAGGCUUCUGAAUCUCAUUUCCUCAUCCAUAAUGUAGGGAUUUUAAUGAUACCUACUCCAUUUGAUUAUUGUGGAAUUAAAAGCUUGACUGUAAGGUGCCUAGUACACAGUAAGUGCUCAGUAACUGUUAUCUGCCAAUGUUAUUGUUGAUACUUUAAUACAGAUUUUAAACUGGUAAAACCAUAAGCUAGAAGGAAAGGAAAGAAACUUAGAAAUGGAAAGCAUUAGGAACCUGGAAAAGCUGGAUUAGGAAGGUUAAAAUUGAGACUUCUAGCUUCUAAAAACCUGAGAGAUUUGGUGACCUGGGAUUAACACAGUCCUUUCCUGGCAACAAAGAGCUAGAUAUUUGCAAUAAAUACAAAGGACAGAGUAGAGCCUCAGUCAUUUGUAGAGUCAGAAAAAUAAGGAAGGGCUGUCUAUUGUUUGAGGAAAUUUGUGUAGUGUUAACAGACAACAGAAAAAACCCCCCAGAACUAUCAACCUUGUGUUUUAAUUUUUUUUCUUCUUGGUCAAAGAGAAGUAUUUUCAGUCAGAAAGGGAAGAAUAAACAUUGGUAAGAGGAGUCUAAGUUCUUAGACAGAAAGAGAGCUACCCAAAUGAGUUCAUAUUGCUCAUGUCAUAGGCAACCGGAAAGAAGAGCAGCUAAGAUUAUGGCUGCAAGUGGCGAUCUAGGAGGCAUCGCUAGAGCAUGAGUACGUGUCCAAACAAUGACACAGAAACAGAUUUUAUCCAGAUUCCCAAAAGAAAACAGAAGAGUCUACUUGUAAUUUCAUGAAUUAUAAACCAAUAAGCUCUCUGUUUAUCCUGAGCAAAAUGGUAAAUGGAUUGUUUGUGAGCAUUUAGGAAAGGAAAAGAAUGACCACAGAGUUGACACUGGUUGAUAAAUAUAAGUUUUGUCAGUACAUUCCUUUUCCUUUCUGAUAAGAUUAUUAGGCUAAUAAGGUCAUGGAAAAGAUUCACUCGUUUAGCAAAUAUUUAUUGAAUACUACCUAGGUGUAGGCAUAUUGCCUGAAUGUUUUUCUUGGAGAAAAAGGCAAUAUGUUUAUUUAUUAAUGAACAGGAGAUUGAAUCAAACAUUCUAGGAAGGAAUGAGACAGAGAUCUGACCAGGUAUACAAAAAGGAAUGGUUUCUGUGCCAAAAUUGGAAACACAGGAAUUGCUGAAUGGGGUCAUUGUAAAAAAUUUUGUUUUUAGACUUGUGUUUAAAAUGUUUAAAAUGCUGUGGGUGGAGAUGUCUAUUAACAUAAAGACAUGGAGCUCAGGAGGCCCUGAACUGGAGAUGGAUCUGGGAAUCAUUAGCUCGUAUGGUUGUUGAGAUUUUUACAAUCACUGGGAUUUUUCAAAAGAGGGUGUAGAGUAAGAAGAGAGCUAAGGUGAGAACGUAGGUAGCAGUAAAAUUUAAGAAGAAAAAGAACUUCCAAGAGGCCUUGAAAAGCACAGGCAGGGAAGUGCGCGGAGAGCCGGAGACAGUCAUACUGGUGGCCCCGGGGGAGAGAUGCCUGUCUUCUCAGGAGAGCGUAGUGGGAUCUGGGACACAUGGUCUCCACCUGAUGCCCAUGGGCAUGAACGUGGUCACAGGGUGUGGGAGAGGAAAAGGGGGCUGGGCAGAACGGCCAGGAAGGAAGGAUCUGCAGAGAUGGUGAAAUAGGAGAACGAGGAGGAGGGGAAAGAAGCUGGUGGAGAAAUAGAUUCAUAUGGUAAUUUUUAAAAACUGAAGCUAACAGGAUAUUGAGUAGGCAGCCAAAACACUCGUCACCAUAACUGAGACGCGGGAGCAGCACAGGCGGAGCAGACAGCCCUGACGCAGGCCGAUGCCUCCAGGGAGCGGGCGGAGUGCUGGGCAGGCAGGACGCUUUCCUGGGCAAGGAGGUGUAUCUCCUGUCCUCUCUCCUGUGCACUGCCUCCUAAAAUGGCAGUAAAUUACCCUUUUUCUUUAUUUAAGAAUGGAUUUUAAAAGCAAAAUGAACUGAAUCAACAUUUUUCAAUUUGAACAUAAGAACCAUGUGGUCAGUUGAUAGUCAUACAAGUGAAAAGCACCUGUUGGAUUCUGUAGUUGACUUUGAAUUCACAAUGUUAAUAGUAAUAGUAGAGAUAGUAUUUUGAGCAUUUAUUAUGUUAGGUAGUUACAGAUAUCUAUUGUACUGAUAGUAGAUCUAUGAAUCUCACUCUACAAACUCAGUUAAUCUAUAAAAAUAAACAUUUCUUGUAACCCAAUUCUGUUUAACCCUCCUACUGCCAGGUUAAUAGUAAAUUCAGGUAAUUUUUAGCUUGGACCUCCUGUGGGGUUGAGACAAAGGACCUAGAGAUAUCUACGAAGGGCCUUGGCCAGUGACCUGGGGGGCAGGGAGCCUUCUGGGCCUGAGUCGUCUGUUCCCACAGGGUUACCCGGAGAGAGUUGGCCUGCAGCAGGGCCCUUCAGGACUGGAGGCUCACACGAUGUUCUGCGGCGUCACUUAAGGGCUGCAGCGGUAAGAGGUGACAGACCGUUGCAGGUAAACUCUUUGCUAAGUUGUUUCCUCUUUGGGGUAUUGGUACCUCCCAGCCAAACAGCCUAGAAAAAAGGGAACUUGGCCUCUGGAGCUAUCUUCCUGUCUGUUCCCUUUGCCUACUUUUCACUCUACUUCCCUCAGCCCACGGAAAAUCCUAUUUUAGGCAGAGUGGAAGAAAUGAUGGCUCCCUGACCCCUGUCUCCUCCAUGCAUUUUGUCUAUACAUCAUUCCCCAAGCCCUGUAGGCCCACAGACACAGUGCUCAUUGGCUGUUUCUACGUUCUGACUAGGGCAUCCUUUUCCUGAGGCAAUGAGCUCAGUUGUGCCCAUAUGCUUGGGAAAGGGGAAAUACCAGCAGAAGAAUGUGCCAAAAUAAUCAUACCAGCCCAUAAACACAGAGUUCUUUAUUUUUGUAGCAACAGAAUUAGAAAAUUAGGUAGGUUCUUAGAUAUUUACAUGAAAGGGUUCCAAAUUUAAGAUAUAGUUGUAGUAAUGUUACUCUAGGCCAUUGGUUUGUGCUGCCAGGAAGGAAGGGGAAAGCCCUGGGAAGCUUUUGAGGCAGACAGCAGCAGUGGGUCAGACAUCAAGAGAAAGGGCUCUGGCCCACUCUGUUUGAGAGUGCUUGGCAAGAUUCUUAAGAAAUAACAGUGAUUAAAACUGAAAACUUUUAUCUGAUGCCUAACUGUGGACUUGGACUCUGCUUCCUCUCUCAAGCCAUUACCUGGAGGUUUUCUUUUCUCUGCCAUUCAGUUUCCAUUCGAUUUCUCUUCUGACUGUGCCUUUUCAGGAUGUCUCCAUCCUCGGUGCCUCUCUCUCCUUCCUCGGGGUCACGACCAUCAUGUAUCAUGGUAGCCUGUGGAAUUUCAGGCAGCCUCAUUUUCAAUGAGCAUUUAUCAGCGUGAGGUGUUCAGAGCCCCAUGAUAAGGUUUCACAUAUCGUAAACCUCAAGGGGCUAGAGAUGGAGGAUGCAUAAUCCAGCACAGCAUGUCCCAAACGGCCUCUAUAUUAUUGCUGCAGGAGUUUGAGAAGGGCAUGAAGCAGAACUUUCAGCUGCUGAGUCAAAAAGGUAUGCAUUUGUGACACUUGAAUUGCAGCUGUUUUUUGGAACUCCACCUAAAAAUAGUACAAGCUCAAUCUGCAGAAAUUCUGACUGAGUUUCAAGUCAGAAUUUGAAACUGAGUGGAUAUGCCUAAAUUCAAGAAAGAUGAGUUAUUCUUAGACUUUUAUAAGCAACUGAGAAGGAAGUCUCUAGCUCAACAACUGUCAGCAAUUAAGUCAAAUAAUAUCUAUCUCCAAGACAUAUGCUUUGAAGAUUAAGCAAGCCUGUAUUGCUGAAAGAACACUGAUUGCCAUUCUGAUACUUGCUGGGAUUAUUCAUCAUUACUGUAUAUUCAAGAUAUAGCAGGUGUCUUCACAUUUCGGUCUGGCUACUAAUUCCAGAGAGAGGUCUUUCCUGACAAACUGAUCACUCUGGUAUUUAAAUCCGAUUCUGAAACUUCAGAAUACCAAAGUACCCAAUUUAAAAUGCUAUUUAAGAUGACUAUCCUAUCUUUUAUGUUGGAUUUUUGAAACUAAUUCAAUUAGAGAAGUAUUUUGAUGUUGCAAAUACCUAUACAUCAGCUCAUCUACUUUAAAAUUAAUCAAAAUAUUUAGGCAUCUUCACAGAAAUUUCUCAUAUUCAUAUAACAAGGCAAUAGUUAUUUACUUCCUGGUACUCUAAUAUGUUUUGGUAAAUCUCUACAUGACUUGUAUAAAAGCAAUAAAAGCUAGUUUCAUGGUACUCCAUUGUCAGAAUAAUGAAUGCUUUAAAAAUAUGUUGAUACAAAGCCUGUCCAAUUCUCUCCCUUGGGUUCUGAAGAAUGUGCACUUGUGGGUCUUAGAAGGAAGGAAACUUCCUGUACCUUCUUUGGACCUGGGCUUCUAGCUAGUGGGAGCAGAGAAUGGCUAAACUGGAAAAGUUUAACAGCCAGCAUCUCUCAGCAUCUCUCAAAGGUACUUAGGGAACUAGUUGCAGAAACUGAGUAGCAUCCAGACAGCACCCCAGAGAGAGUACACUGGAGCUUAUCAUCCCACACGAUUACAUAUUCAAAUUGGUUUGAAUUCCCUGGCCACCCAUGGGGAUGUCAUGGGAGGUGGUAAAGAAGCAUGCUGUGUCAGGGCAGAAGCACUGGAGGAACCUGGUCUAACAUUAAAAAUGUGGUACAGAUAUUUAUUUCCCUAAGGUGAAAAAGUCCCACAACCAUGAAAAUUCAGACAUCCAGGAAAGAGCUGUGAAUGUAAAAAUGAGGUUGAAUUUCCAAGUGACAUGUGAUAAUCUUUUUCAAUACAUUAAGAAUUCUACCUUGCCCUUGCAAGGAUUUCUUAUUCUUGAAUGCUUCAUAUACAGCUCUUUAAGAUGCUCCUACUGCAGCCAGGUAAAUUAACACAUACCCAUCCUGCCCUCUAGACUAGAAAACCCCAGGUAUUAUGAGUAAACGUCUGUGACAUUUUGGUUAAUUGGAGCUGGUGUUGGGGGAACUUUUGAGCAUUAGUAGCUACAGGCAUAACCUUUGCUUAUUUUCACUAAUGUGGUUUGAGAGGGUUCAGGGUUGUGUUGGAAAGUGUGGGCAGCGGCAGGGGAAUUUGGAAAACACAUGAAGUUUACUUGCUUUGUAUGUUUGUGACCUUUCAAUGGCGAAAUAUAAGAACUUUGCAAAAUCAUGUUUCAGUGAUACAAUAAAUAGAAUAUCAGCAUAUAGGUGAUAAAGAAUACAAUCUGUUUGCAACACAUUGUAGGGUUAAAACUCCUUAUCAAGUUUGCUGUUUCACCUGGGAAUAUCCAAGUAAACCCAACUGAGAUGUGCUGGCAGACAUGGGAGGAUAAACCACAGGAGGAGGGAGCUGGAUUAGAAGGAGGUGGGACCUGGAGAAUCAAAUGGAGGCGAGGAAUUUGGACUCAGCCCAGAGAGAUCUAGAAGGUACAACACACUGCAGGUGAUAGACUGCAAUAGGCAGUCUCAUUGUUAUGGAAAAUACUGGAAAACCUGGACUGGAUCGCUGAUGGAAGAACCAAGCGGCACUUGAAGGUCUUGGAGUGUUGAGGUUUUAUUUCACACCGGCGGGCUCACAGAGGAGUAACCUCCCAAGGCCUGAUUCCUGAGCACAAACAAAGGGAGUAAUUUAUAUUAUUUUGACAUGUGGCAUUUCAGCAUGCGCAGGGCAAAGCAGGAGCCUGGAGGAGGGGAGGAGGGAGCUGGGGGGCUCUGCCAACCGGGGGCAAAAGUGGUUUGCUGACCUUGACGGCUGUGUUGAGUGUUUUCCUUACCAUCAGGAGAACCAUCUUCACAGUCACUGUGAGAUGCUGACGCUGCCCCACAGAAACAUCUCAUUAAAAAUUUUCUAGUUAUCUACAUUCUAAAAAAAUAAAAAGAAGCAUGUAAAAUAAGUUUUAUUUUAUAUUUUAAAAUUCUAAAAUUAUAUUGAACCCAGUAUAUCCAAAAUACUAUCCUGUCAAAAAUGUACCCAUAAUGCCUAGCAGCCACACAUGACUACAGACAACACCGAGAUCAGUGGGUCUUUCGGCACUGGGGUGUCUUCCAGGCCAGAGGAAGGCUCGACUCAUGAGGACCGAUGGAGACCGGUAUGUUAGCUGGUGAUUCACAAAAGAGAAUUAUAUAUGUUAGAAAUCCAUUAGAAAACUGCUACCUCAUUUGUAAUCGAAGCUAUAAAAAUUGAAAUAUGAGUAAGAUGCUAUUUCUCACCUGUCAAAAGGGCCACUUUUAAAAAAUUGCAGCUGGUUGGAAAUGUGCUAAAAUUCAUAUAUUGCUGUAAGUGUAAAUUGGUAUAACUCAUUUGGAAAGCAUUUUACAUUUCAUGUCAAGAGCUUUGAAUUGUUUUUUCCAACUUCUAAGACUCUAUAAUGGAAAACAAUAAAAACAAUAAUUAUUGAGUUUUAUUAUAUAACAGCAUACUUAGCACUUCAUAUGUUUUAAGCCUUUUAAUCUUUACAACUAUGAACUAGCUAUUAUCCAAUUUUAAUCCUAUAAAAAUAACCCAAAAUUUGGGAAAAAUUAUGUGUCAAUGUUAUUAUAGUAUUGUUAAAAGAAGAAAAAAUACAAACAAACAAAAAACUAGGAAAAAACCUAAAUGUCUCAAAUCAAGGAAUGGUUUCUUAAGUGAAACUACUCAAUGGAAUUGAUGUAUUUACUAAAGUGUUUUUUAAGAAUAUACAAUGCUAUGGAAAAAAUGCAUGUCUUAGUCUGCUGUCAUUCAACAAAGCUGCAUAACAAACAGGUAUUAAAUCUGGGUGGCAUACAACAGUAAGCAUUUAUUUCUCAUGCACAUAUUUGCAGGUCAGUUGGGGUACGGCUCUGCUCUUGGCUCCAGGUAAGCUGACUUUGGUUUUAGGUUCAUUUAUGAUGCACUGUAUUCAUUUUGGAGCCCAGGUUGAAGGGGCAUCUGCUAUCAGGGGAAAGCUCUUCUCAUGGCAGAUUCCUGGAGUGAAAGACAGCAAGAGAGCAAGAAGGCAUGAGUGACAGCACAGCACAUCUAAGCAUUUACUUGCUUCAUGUGUACUAACUUAUUCAAAGGAAGCCAUAUGGUGAAGUCUAAAGUUGAGGAGUUGGGAGCUAUCCUCUGCCUGCCACGAGAAUGUGCAAGAAUGUGUAUGUAUAAUUCUAUUACAAGAGAAUAAAGAUUUGGAACCAAUAA